UCAUGUUAUGGGUUACACUGCUUCUCCUUCAACAUGGAUAUACGCUGACGCCAGUGUCCACAGUUCAACUUGGUGAACCUGUGACCUUCACAUGUAUUUUGCCUGAUCCACUGAACAAUAGAUUGUACUGGUACAAACAGCGUGCUGGGGAUAUUCUUAAAUUAAUUGUGACACUGCGGAAACAAGUAAACCCUGAUUAUGGAACCGAGUUUUCCCUCUCUAGAAUCGAUGUAAAAAUUUCUAAAAAUAUUUGCAACCUGACCAUUUUGAGGACAAUCCAAGAAGAUGAGGGAAUGUAUCACUGUGAAGUCAUGGACUCAUGGAUUAACAUGACUUGGAGUGGGACCUAUUUGUCUUUAAAAGGAAACACUCAGAGGACAUCAAACUAUACAGCAAGUUCUGAAUUUAUUGCGCUGGUGAUAGCAAUAGUCUGCUUGGUCAUUUCUAUUGUUGGAAAUAUUGUUUUCAUCUGUCACCGAACUCCAAGAGGC